GUGAGGAAUAUUGGUCAAUGGGCGGGAGCCUGAACCAGCCAAGUCGCGUGAAGGAAGAAGGAUCUAUGGUUCGUAAACUUCUUUUGCAGGGGAAUAAAGUGCAGGACGUGUCCUGUUUUGUAUGUACCCUGAGAAUAAGGAUCGGCUAACUCCGUGCCAGCAGCCGCGGUAAUACGGAGGAUCCGAGCGUUAUCCGGAUUUAUUGGGUUUAAAGGGUGCGUAGGUUGUUUGAUAAGUCAGCGGUGAAAGUUUGCAGCUUAACUGUAAAAAUGCCGUGGAAACUGGCGGACUUGAGUGUAAAUGAGGUAGGCGGAAUGCGUGGUGUAGCGGUGAAAUGCAUAGAUAUCACGCAGAACUCCGAUUGCGAAGGCAGCUUACUAAGCUACAACUGACACUGAAGCACGAAAGCGUGGGGAUCAAACAGGAUUAGAUACCCUUGUAGUCC
rnacentral:rRNA from 1 species